rnacentral:rRNA from 1 species
UGUGGUGAUGAUGGCAAGAAGGACACACCUGUUCCCAUGCCGAACACAGCAGUUAAGCUUCUUAGCGCCGAUGGUAGUUGGGACUUUGUCCCUG